AUUGAACGCUGGCGGCAGGCCUAACACAUGCAAGUCGAGCGGCAGCGGGGGAAAGCUUGCUUUCCCGCCGGCGAGCGGCGGACGGGUGAGUAAUGUCUGGGAAACUGCCUGAUGGAGGGGGAUAACUACUGGAAACGGUAGCUAAUACCGCAUAACGUCUACGGACCAAAGUGGGGGACCUUCGGGCCUCAUGCCAUCAGAUGUGCCCAGAUGGGAUUAGCUAGUAGGUGGGGUAACGGCUCACCUAGGCGACGAUCCCUAGCUGGUCUGAGAGGAUGACCAGCCACACUGGAACUGAGACACGGUCCAGACUCCUACGGGAGGCAGCAGUGGGGAAUAUUGCACAAUGGGCGCAAGCCUGAUGCAGCCAUGCCGCGUGUAUGAAGAAGGCCUUCGGGUUGUAAAGUACUUUCAGCGGGGAGGAAGGUGUUGUGGUUAAUAACCAGAGCAAUUGACGUUACCCGCAGAAGAAGCACCGGCUAACUCCGUGCCAGCAGCCGCAGUAACAC
rnacentral:rRNA from 1 species